rnacentral:rRNA from 1 species
GAGUGAACCACCUGAUCCCUUCCCGAACUCAGAAGUGAAACCUCUUUGCGCUGAUGGUAGUGUGGGGUUACCCAUGUGAGAGUAAGUCAUCGCCAGCU